GUGGAGUUUGCAUGUUCUCCCCGUGCCUGCGUGGGUUUUCUCCGGGUACUCCGGUUUCCUCCCACAUUCCAAAAACAUGCAUGACAGGCUGAUUGAACACUCUAAAUUGUCCCUAGGUGUGAGUGUGAGCGUGGUUGGUUGUUCGUCUCUGUGUGCCCUGCGAUUGGCUGGCAACCGAUUCGGGGUGUCCCCCGCCUACUGCCCGGAGACAGCUGGGAUAGGCUCCAGCACCCCCCGCGACCCUAGUGAGGAUCAA